rnacentral:snoRNA from 1 species
CCCCUCUCAGGAUGGCACCUGGAGAGUUUCCAGUACCCUACCAGUCUCGGUUACGGGAGGGAGAGUCAAGCAGAGGCCUACCCGUUCCAUUCUUAGCUUGGGCAGUGGCUAGCGAGUGGAAGGCAAUCCGCUACAAGU